GACGAACGCUGGCGGCGUGCCUAAUACAUGCAAGUCGAGCGAAUCAAUAGGAGCUUGCUCCUGUUGGUUAGCGGCGGACGGGUAAGUAACACGUGGGCAACCUGCCUGUAAGACUGGGAUAACACCGGGGAACCGGUGCUAAUACCGGAUAAUCCUUUUCCUCUCAUGAGGAAAAGCUGAAAGUCGGUUUCGGCUGACACUUACAGAUGGGCCCGCGGCGCAUUAGCUAGUUGGUGAGGUAACGGCUCACCAAGGCGACGAUGCGUAGCCGACCUGAGAGGGUGAUCGGCCACACUGGGACUGAGACACGGCCCAGACUCCUACGGGAGGCAGCAGUAGGGAAUCUUCCACAAUGGACGAAAGUCUGAUGGAGCAACGCCGCGUGAGCGAUGAAGGCCUUCGGGUCGUAAAGCUCUGUUGUUAGGGAAGAACAAGUACCGGAGUAACUGCCGGUGCCUUGACGGUACCUAACCAGAAAGCCACGGCUAACUAUGUGCCAGCCGCCGCGGUAAAAC
rnacentral:rRNA from 1 species